rnacentral:snRNA from 1 species
AAUGAAACUUACCCUUUUGGCUAAGAUCAAGUGUAGUAUCUGUUCUUAUCAGUUUAAUAUCUGACACAUCCUCUAUCCAAGGAAAACAUAUUAAAUGGAGGGUUUUUUUUUUUUUUUUUUUGAGACAGAAAAAUGGGUUUUUGAAGCAGGGAAAUGGAAUAGGAGUUUGCUCCAGCCACUCUACACAUCAACCUGUAUUUCAGUACCUCCAGAAACCCAGGAAUGGUGCAUCUUUC